rnacentral:lncRNA from 1 species
UUUAAAAAAUUUUAUAGUUAUCACUAGCUAAAACUUUAUAUUUUUUACAAUUAACCACGUAAGUAUAUAUUUCAUCAAUUUAGGCUUCGUUUGGGAUUGCGGGGAGAUUGCGUUACGUGUGGUGAGAAACGACGAUGGAAAAAUAUCCUAUUUGUUUUCGUACGUAAUAUUGCGUUCCGCAUAUCGCGAUGAGUCCGUUACGAUAUAUUUUCUGCGGUCCCACCGGAGAACGCAGAAGCAUAUCCUUAAAUGCUUUUUCCUCAACUCCAUUCUAUCUAAUAGCGUUAAAUAGGCCUCAAUACCAAACUAAGCCUUAAAGUGAAACCAUCGACCUGAAUGGGUCAAACUGGGUUGUAAGCCUCCGAUUUUUCUAGGUUGAACCGAACUAGUUUGGGCACUAGAUCAUAGUUCGACAAGAGCGACUAACUGGUGAGAACCAAAUUUUAAAAUAUUAAUAUAUAAUUUCAUUUGUAUCUCCCUUCUAAUUAAUCCAUAAUUACAUAAAUGUUUAUCUCAAACUAUCAAUAUUAAAAUAUCUCUAUAAUUUAAGAAAAUAUAAAAAAAAAAAGCUGGUGAAAAUUUCCUUUAAAAUUUACCAAAAUUUCCACUUUAUCCUUUAACAAUUAAAAAUAAAUUAUUAAUAUAUACAAAACUGAUACUAAUUCAUUGUAACAAAUUAAACGAUAUAAAUACUU